rnacentral:rRNA from 1 species
UCUUCCCUCUUUCUUCGUGCCUAAUACAUGCAAGUCGAGCGAACAGAUAAGGAGCUUGCUCCUUUGACGUUAGCGGCGGACGGGUGAGUAACACGUGGGUAACCUACCUAUAAGACUGGGAUAACUUCGGGAAACCGGAGCUAAUACCGGAUAAUAUUUCGAACCGCAUGGUUCGAUAGUGGAAGAUGGUUUUGCUAUCACUUAUAGAUGGACCCGCGCCGUAUUAGCUAGUUGGUAAGGUAACGGCUUACCAAGGCGACGAUACGUAGCCGACCUGAGAGGGUGAUCGGCCACACUGGAACUGAGACACGGUCCAGACUCCUACGGGAGGCAGCAGUAGGGAAUCUUCCGCAAUGGGCGAAAGCCUGACGGAGCAACGCCGCGUGAGUGAUGAAGGUCUUCGGAUCGUAAAACUCUGUUAUUAGGGAAGAACAUACGUGUAAGUAACUGUGCACGUCUUGACGUUACCUAAUCAGAAAGCCACGGCUAACUACGUG